rnacentral:rRNA from 1 species
CCUACGGGGGGCAGCAGUAGGGAAUAUUGCUCAAUGGGGGAAACCCUGAAGCAGCAACGCCGCGUGGAGGAUGAAGGUUUUAGGAUUGUAAACUCCUUUUGUGAGAGAAGAUUAUGACGGUAUCUCACGAAUAAGCACCGGCUAACUCCGUGCCAGCAGCCGCGGUAAUACGGAGGGUGCAAGCGUUACUCGGAAUCACUGGGCGUAAAGAGUGCGCAGGCGGGUAGCCAAGUCAGAUGUGAAAUCCUAUAGCUUAACUAUAGAACUGCAUUUGAAACUGGCUAUCUAGAGUGUGGGAGAGGUAGGUGGAAUUCUUGGUGUAGGGGUAAAAUCCGUAGAGAUCAAGAGGAAUACUCAUUGCGAAGGCGACCUACUGGAACAUUACUGACGCUCAUGCACGAAAGCGUGGGGAGCAAACAGGAUUAGAUACCCCAGUAG